AUUACAAUAAAGAUACUAUACCUUUUUCUGACUUUUUAGAUGAAUAUCCCUUUUUUCUCUAUUAAAAGUAUGAACUUGAAGGAGAAAGCCAAAGUAGGGCCAAGAAAUAGUUUAGCAACGAUCCUGCUGACGAAAUCCAUUAAUGACAAUAAGAUUCCUGAGACUCAAGAGAAGCUGAGAAGAUGCUCGUGCCAUAUUUGUACAGCCCGAAAAACUAUAUGGAGCCAUUCAGCAAGAUCAGGUUCUACUGUUGAGGAUGCUUCACAACAUGCUGAAGUUACUGCUGGAAUCUACACAACCAAGAGAAAAUGCUGCAGUAGGAGGGUCUUCCACUGUGGCAUCACCCAAAGGGGAUUGAAAAAGAGAAAUGUAAAAGUACAAAGCCAAUUAUGUAAGCAAGAGUGACAGGAAAACCAGGUAUGUGAAUUAGUACUUGUUAUACAUUUGAUUAUUUUAAACUAGGUGUGGUGUCUAUUUAUUCUUUGCAGAUGAGUGGCUUGAUUAGCUCCUAAUAAGUCUUUUGCCUGUAAUGUCCUCUAUUGAGAUACUAAUGUCUGCUUACCUUCUUUUUCAGUGUUUUGAAGAGUAAGCCCAAUGACAGAUAUAUUAAUGUUUAAACUCAUAUGCAUAAAUGUAAUCUCUUAAAAAUGUUUCUAAUUCCUAUUAUACACCCUGAGUUUAGUAAUGCACUAUUGGCUAUAGCUCAAUAACAAAA
rnacentral:lncRNA from 13 species